rnacentral:rRNA from 1 species
GGAUGCCUUGGCACUAGAAGCCGAUGAAGGACGUUACUAACGACGAUAUGCUUUGGGGAGCUGUAAGUAAGCUUUGAUCCAGAGAUUUCCGAAUGGGGAAACCCAGCAUGAGUUAUGUCAUGUUAUCGAUAUGUGAAUACAUAGCAUAUCAGAAGGCACACCCGGAGAACUGAAACAUCUUAGUACCCGGAGGAAGAGAAAGAAAAUUCGAUUCCCUUAGUAGCGGCGAGCGAAACGGGAAGAGCCCAAACCAACAAGCUUGCUUGUUGGGGUUGUAGGACACUCUAUACGGAGUUACAAAGGACGACAUUAGACGAAUCAUCUGGAAAGAUGAAUCAAAGAAGGUAAUAAUCCUGUAGUCGAAAAUGUUGUCUCUCUUGAGUGGAUCCUGAGUACGACGGAGCACGUGAAAUUCCGUCGGAAUCUGGGAGGACCAUCUCCUAAGGCUAAAUACUCUCUAGUGACCGAUAGUGAACCAGUACCGUGAGGGAAAGGUGAAAAGCACCCCGGAAGGGGAGUGAAAUAGAACCUGAAACCGUGUGCUUACAAGUAGUCAGAGCCCGUUAAUGGGUGAUGGCGUGCCUUUUGUAGAAUGAACCGGCGAGUUACGAUUUGAUGCAAGGUUAAGCAGUAAAUGUGGAGCCGUAGCGAAAGCGAGUCUGAAUAGGGCGUUUAGUAUUUGGUCGUAGACCCGAAACCAGGUGAUCUACCCUUGGUCAGGUUGAAGUUCAGGUAACACUGAAUGGAGGACCGAACCGACUUACGUUGAAAAGUGAGCGGAUGAACUGAGGGUAGCGGAGAAAUUCCAAUCGAACCUGGAGAUAGCUGGUUCUCUCCGAAAUAGCUUUAGGGCUAGCCUCAAGUGAUGAUUAUUGGAGGUAGAGCACUGUUUGGACGAGGGGCCCCUCUCGGGUUACCGAAUUCAGACAAACUCCGAAUGCCAAUUAAUUUAACUUGGGAGUCAGAACAUGGGUGAUAAGGUCCGUGUUCGAAAGGGAAACAGCCCAGACCACCAGCUAAGGUCCCAAAAUAUAUGUUAAGUGGAAAAGGAUGUGGCGUUGCCCAGACAACUAGGAUGUUGGCUUAGAAGCAGCCAUCAUUUAAAGAGUGCGUAAUAGCUCACUAGUCGAGUGACACUGCGCCGAAAAUGUACCGGGGCUAAACAUAUUACCGAAGCUGUGGAUUGUCCUUUGGACAAUGGUAGGAGAGCGUUCUAAGGGCGUUGAAGCAUGAUCGUAAGGACAUGUGGAGCGCUUAGAAGUGAGAAUGCCGGUGUGAGUAGCGAAAGACGGGUGAGAAUCCCGUCCACCGAUUGACUAAGGUUUCCAGAGGAAGGCUCGUCCGCUCUGGGUUAGUCGGGUCCUAAGCUGAGGCCGACAGGCGUAGGCGAUGGAUAACAGGUUGAUAUUCCUGUACCACCUAUAAUCGUUUUAAUCGAUGGGGGGACGCAGUAGGAUAGGCGAAGCGUGCG